GAUGAACGCUGGCGGCGUGCCUAAUACAUGCAAGUCGAGCGAACAGACGAGGAGCUUGCUCCUCUGACGUUAGCGGCGGACGGGUGAGUAACACGUGGAUAACCUACCUAUAAGACUGGGAUAACUUCGGGAAACCGGAGCUAAUACCGGAUAAUAUAUUGAACCGCAUGGUUCAAUAGUGAAAGACGGUUUUGCUGUCACUUAUAGAUGGAUCCGCGCCGCAUUAGCUAGUUGGUAAGGUAACGGCUUACCAAGGCAACGAUGCGUAGCCGACCUGAGAGGGUGAUCGGCCACACUGGAACUGAGACACGGUCCAGACUCCUACGGGAGGCAGCAGUAGGGAAUCUUCCGCAAUGGGCGAAAGCUUGACUGAGCAACGCCGCGUGAGUGAUGAAGGUCUUCGGAUCGUAAAACUCUGUUAUUAGGGAAGAACAAAUGUGUAAGUAACUAUGCACGUCUUGACGGUACCUAAUCAGAAAGCCACGGCUAACUACGUG
rnacentral:rRNA from 1 species